rnacentral:rRNA from 1 species
UACGUAGGGGGCAAGCGUUGUCCGGAUUUAUUGGGCGUAAAGAGCGUGUAGGCGGCUAUACAGGUCCGCUGUGAAAACUCGAGGCUCAACCUCGAGACGUCGGUGGAAACCGUAUGGCUAGAGUCCGGAAGAGGAGAGUGGAAUUCCUGGUGUAGCGGUGAAAUGCGCAGAUAUCAGGAAGAACACCCGUGGCGAAGGCGGCUCUCUGGGUCGGUACUGACGCUGAGACGCGAAAGCGUGGGGAGCGAACAGG